rnacentral:rRNA from 1 species
UUGGGUUAAGUCCCGCAACGAGCGCAACCCUUAUCGUUAGUUGCUACCAUUAGGUUGAGCACUCUAGCGAGACUGCCCGGGUUAACCGGGAGGAAGGUGGGGAUGACGUCAAAUCAUCAUGCCCCUUAUGUCUAGGGCUACACACGUGCUACAAUGGUGAGGACAAAGAGACGCAAGACCGCGAGGUGGAGCAAAUCUCACAAACCUCAUCCCAGUUCGGAUUGCAGGCUGAAACUCGCCUGCAUGAAGCCGGAGUUGCUAGUAAUCGCGAAUCAGCAUGUCGCGGUGAAUACGUUCCCGGGCCUU